GAAAAAUUCCUCUAGGUCUUGAAAAAAAAAUCGAGCGAUAACAACGAAAGAACGCAGGAUAUGGAGUCGCGUAAGGGCAUCGAUUCACAACACUGCGCCAACGGUUGUGGUUUCGAUGGAUCGAUAGAAAAUCAAAAUCUUUGCUCAAAGUGCGACAAAGAAGAAAUUGAAAAGGAAUCCAUGGAGGACAGUUUGAACCCCACAUCGCCGCCUCCACCGCCAAACGUUCCCUUCGCAUUCACGAAGUGGAAGCCUCGUUCUGUUUUCUCUUUUAAUACUAAAAAUAUUCCCGACUCAAAAUCUUUUUUUGGUUUUUCUUCGAGUUCUAACAAACAGUUUUCUUUUUCUGCUGAUUCAACUGUUGAAACUUGGAUUUCUCCUAGGGUUGAUGCGAGUAAGUUCCUUUUCGGUUCUUCAACCGGCAGGAAGCGUGUGUGCAGUACCUGCAAUAAGCGGGUCGGGUUGACCGGAUUUGAGUGCCGAUGCGGGAAUUUGUUUUGUGGAAAACACCGGUACCCGGAAGAACACUCGUGCGGCUUUGAUUAUAAGGCGUAUGCACGUGAGAUUAUGCUCAAGCAAAAUCAGGUUUGCGAGGCUGAUAAACUGCACUACAGAAUUUAAUCGAAACCUUUUAUUAGAUUUAUCUACACAUUGAUGCGACCCUUAUGGGGAUAUAUUUCUAUACUCUUGAUUCCAUCUCCUGCAACUGCGAUCACGGAUCUGUUGUAGUUAUGGGAUCGAUCUUAGACGGAAAUUUUAUCAAAUAAUUCUUGUUUGUGGCGAGUGCUUUGUUGAAAACUAAAAAGAAAAUGCCAAGUUCAUUAUAGAAAAUGGCAAAUUCAAAAUAUAAGAUAAGAUGAUCGCAUCAAUAUGUAGAUAAAUCAAGUACAAGAAAAUUUGGGUAAGCUCA
rnacentral:misc_RNA from 1 species